AGCGAACGCUGGCGGCAGGCCUAACACAUGCAAGUCGAACGGACCCUUCGGGGUUAGUGGCGGACGGGUGAGUAACACGUGGGAACGUGCCUUUAGGUUCGGAAUAGCUCCUGGAAACGGGUGGUAAUGCCGAAUGUGCCCUUAGGGGGAAAGAUUUAUCGCCUUUAGAGCGGCCCGCGUCUGAUUAGCUAGUUGGUGAGGUAAUGGCUCACCAAGGCUACGAUCAGUAGCUGGUCUGAGAGGAUGACCAGCCACAUUGGGACUGAGACACGGCCCAAACUCCUACGGGAGGCAGCAGUGGGGAAUCUUGCGCAAUGGGCGAAAGCCUGACGCAGCCAUGCCGCGUGAAUGAUGAAGGUCUUAGGAUUGUAAAAUUCUUUCACCGGGGACGAUAAUGACGGUACCCGGAGAAGAAGCCCCGGCUAACUUCGUGCCAGCAGCCGCCGUAAGAC
rnacentral:rRNA from 1 species